rnacentral:lncRNA from 1 species
AAGCAAUUUGCUCAUAGCCAUAGCUUUCUUGUGAAAGUAGGAUAUUAACCCAGGUGUCUUGGUGCUGGAGAACAGAACUGGCCAGAGUCCAUCCUGUCUCCCACCGGCAUCCCAUUACGAAAUGAACACAGAAAAGGCAGGUCUGCAAUGCCAACAUCUAGUAUCUAUCCCAAAGACCAGGGAGAAAGGAAGGAAAGAUUCUGGUUCUGUCCUCUUCCCCAAGGCAAGGCUGGCUGCCCUACCAACAGAGGCAAAGAGAAGAGUGUGCAAGGCUGGCUGCCCUCCCAACAGAGGCAAAGAGGAGUGUGUGUUGAAAUAUCCAUUGAAUCCCUGAGACAACUGGAUCCUGGCCCAUUGAAUCAUAAACUCAUUAUGGAGGCUGGGAAGACCUAGAAUGUGGCAUCACUAUUUGGUUAUUUAGAAAAUUGUUACCUCAAAAAUGACCUAGGGGUCCUUAGAAUAAUAACACACAGAAGAAUAGCCUCAUUUUUCUGUUGGGCCCAGGAAACCAUGCCGAUUACCGACCGAGCUCUCAAUGGAAAAAUGCAGUCGGCGUGAACCACGCACGAACACAGCAGAGAAAGAAGAAAACACACACCACGAGGAACCCUAAUAGGACAAUACAUUAUAAGUCACAGUGCUACGGAGAAACCCAGUAGCCACAUGGAAGCAGAGACCAUGCAUAUGCAUCUACUCCGCAGCUCUGUGAAUGUCAGCAGCUCCCACGGACUGGAGAUCCCGUGAGAUCCCGUGAGAUCUCACCCAUAGCCUCAUGGUACAUCCACUUGGUGUGCUGGGAGAGUCAGGAUGAGGACCUGAGAAGAACAGCAGCUUGAACCUGACUUCAUUUAACAGCCCACUGCCCUCUUGCCAAGAACCCAUCACAGACCUUCCCAGAAGAGAGGGAUGAGCCUCACCUAUGAAUAAGUCCUCAGAAACUCAAAUUUGAUUCUAAUGGAUUGUUUUCUCAGAAAGACUGAGCAUGUCCCCCCACAUCUCUGUCAUUUCCCACAGUAGUAACCUCUGCAGAUGCCACAUAGAAAACAAAACAAAACAAAAAAACAUGAGGUUGGUGGGCAGAUAGGCAGGGUAUAAACAAACAGCCUUGUAACCCAGAAGCUGUGUGAUAUACAGUAAACUUCACAACACUGAAAAGAUGUCCUAUCUGUUAAAAUGGGGUAAUAACAACUACCCGAAUGUUUAGGAAUAGAACUUCAAUAAAUGAUACAUUUUAUAGUACAGCAGACCAUCCUGUAAAGGUUUCAUCCUUCACUGUGGUGAUAAAUAUCCCAAACCACAUUGAAAAGCAUUGCAUCUACAUUUAUCUACACUGUAACUGUACUGUAAAUCAUGGGGGAGGGGAGAAUCAUAAAAACACCACCUGUCACCGUGUCAUUAAAGCAAGUUGGAAGUGAUACUUACAGAAACACAGCAAGAGCACCCCCAGUCACACAGUUCAAUCUCUUAGCAAGCGUUUUCUUUCUAGCCCAGUGGUUCUCAGUUUGGAAUUUUUGGCACUGCCUAGAGAUAGUUUUGUUGUUAAAACUGAGAAAAGAGCCGGGCGUGGUGGCACACGCCUUUAAUCCCAGCACUCAGGAGGCAGAGGCAGG